CAUUCAUCCAAGUUCUAACCAACACACGGGUUCAAAUUAAGCCUCUUUACCCUCUCUUCAGCUCUUCUUGUUGAUUUCUUCUCUAUAUCAUCUAGUCCUUUUACUUUGAUCGCCCGAAAUAUACGUAGCUUUUGCAUAUAUAUAUAUAUAUGUUCCUUCAUGGCCUUGUUGAUCAUCAGGAAUACGUGCAAGAAGAGGGAUUCCAGGAGUAGACAUCUGUGAAAUAGCUACUUUGAUAUUGGCCUGGUUCACUCAGACGAAAAACAAAGCUAGCAGUCAAUGGCGACUGUACGUGGCUAGCUUUUCUUUUCUUUUCUAAUUUGAUUGAGCCGUGCCAAUAUCUCAGUGCUCUUUCAUUUCUUCCGGACUCUGAUCAUCACUAGAAUAGUACUUGAGGCCGAGAUCAUCAACAUACCAAUCAAACCGCUUGAUAAUUUAUCUCGGAUAAUGGGAAAAUUAGUUUCAUUAUAUAUAUAUAUAUAUAUGUUGUGGGCUUCAUUGGUUA